AUCGGCGACAGUAACAUCCGUACCAUCCUUUGACUGGAUUUUGAUGUCACCCUUACCUUUGACACUCACCUUCGUCUUGUUGCCAAAGUUGACUUCACCCCUUCGUACUCCUCUAGCUUCGUAAACAGGUCCUUGCGUCCGCACAUAUGAUUCGGGCAACCGCUAUCAAGAAACCAAAUAUCUAAGUGAUUUUUAUUUGGUUCUCCAGCGUUGCAUGCUAGAACCAUAUUGUCACUUGUCUCUGCAACGUGCGCCUACUGCGUUCGUCUGUGUCGGUUGCCACGCGGACAUUCCCUUUUGUAAUGCCCAAAUUGUUGACACCGGUAACAUUUGACUUUGAACUUGUCAAUUUUACCAGAAGAAUUAUUUUUCCAAUUUCCUCCACCUUGCCCGCUACCUUGUCCGCCACCGCGUCCAUGGCUGUUGUUGAACAUUUGACUUUGGACUUGUCAAUUUUACUAGAAGAAUUAUUUUUCUAAUUUCCGCCACCGCGUCCAUGGCUGUUGUUGCCUUGACUGCCACCGCAAUUUCCUGGGACAUAGCUGCUUUGCAAAGGUUGUUCUUGGUUACUGCUACUCGCCGUCUGGUUCAUUCUUUACUCAUGAGAACUUAACGAACCCAACAACUAGUCUGCCGACAUAGUUGUUGUAUCUUGACCUUCUACGAUUGCAGCUACUACGUAGUUAAAUCUUGUGCUCAAAGAGCGUAAGAUUUUUUCUACCACCCUCUGCUCGUCCAACGAUUCACCGUUAGCCCGCAAUUGGUUUAUGACUGACUGCACACGGUCAAAGUAGCUUGCAACAUUUUCCGAUUCCUUCAUGCACAAGAACUCAAAAUCUGCACGGAGUGUUUGUAACUAGACCCGCUUCACUCGAUCGUCACCUUUGUAGGCUUUCUGCAGAAUAACCCAUGCUUGGUUUGNN
rnacentral:lncRNA from 1 species